CAUAUUAUAAGUUAAAUUAAACUGGUGGAUUGUGGAUCCUAAAAUAAAUUAUAUCUUAAUUUUA
rnacentral:tRNA from 1 species